rnacentral:lncRNA from 1 species
UUUGGAUCUCGCCAACUCGGUUAGUCUCAUUGUGCUUAGCAACUAUGGGCUCAAGGGUGACUAUGACUUCUCUGGCCACUUGUUUGGCCAUCGGUGCCACUGUUGCUGACAAGGACUGGUUUAUAUCUAAGAUAAUUCUAUCAGCCUCUCAAUAUAUUCUUUCGCUAACAUAGGUACCAACCUUGUUAACUGUAACAAAGUCUGGUUUCACAGUCAC